rnacentral:rRNA from 1 species
AACGAACGCUGGCGGCAGGCCUAACACAUGCAAGUCGAGCGAGAACUUCGGUUCUAGCGGCGGACGGGUUAGUAACGCGUGGGAAUAUGCCCUUCACUACGGAAUAGUCCCGGGAAACUGGGUUUAAUACCGUAUACGCCCUUCGGGGGAAAGAUUUAUCGGUGAAGGAUUAGCCCGCGUUGGAUUAGGUAGUUGGUGGGGUAAUGGCCUACCAAGCCGACGAUCCAUAGCUGGUUUGAGAGGAUGAUCAGCAACACUGGGACUGAGACACGGCCCAGACUCCUACGGGAGGCAGCAGUGGGGAAUCUUAGACAAUGGGGGCAACCCUGAUCUAGCCAUGCCGCGUGAGUGAUGAAGGCCUUAGGGUUGUAAACUCCUUUCGCCAUUGACGAAGCCCUUUGGGGUGACGGUAGGUGGAGAAGAAGCACCGGCUAACUACGUGCCAGCCGCCGCAGUAAAA